CUGUGUAUGUGUGAACACAUAAGAUGUAUAAGAAUCUAAAUUGCCGCUUUACAUAGUGAAUCCUAUGUUAUAGGAUUCCAUGACAAGAGCCAAUCUCGCAUACUUGUGUACUUUUGGGUUUUAAAAAGUCUGUUCACUUUAAUUUUUUUUUAAGUUGGCAUUCUAAUACUAAUUCUGGUACAACCAUACAACCUCAACCAAAAUGGGAAAUAGUUGGUUGGGAUGAGCACAAACCCAUGUUUGUAGCAGUUAAUAUACUAAUAUAGUAAUAUAACAUUGAAUUUGCAUGGCAGUCCACGUGAUUUCCUUCCUUCCCAGCUCAUCAAAGUUUUUU
rnacentral:lncRNA from 1 species